rnacentral:rRNA from 1 species
AUUGAACGCUGGCGGCAUGCCUUACACAUGCAAGUCGAACGGCAGCGCGGGGCAACCUGGCGGCGAGUGGCGAACGGGUGAGUAACAUAUCGGAACAUACCCUAGAGUGGGGGAUAACGUAGCGAAAGUUACGCUAAUACCGCAUACGCACUAAGGUGGAAAGUGGGGGAUUCGCAAGAACCUCAUGCUCAUGGAGUGGCCGAUAUCUGAUUAGCUAGUUGGUGAGGUAAAGGCGUCACCAAGGCGACGAUCAGUAGCUGGUUUGAGAGACGACCAGCCACACUGGAACUGAGACAC